rnacentral:rRNA from 1 species
AGUGAACGCUGGCGGUAGGCCUAACACAUGCAAGUCGAGCGGGCGUAGCAAUACGUCAGCGGCAGACGGGAGAGUAACACGUGGGAACGCGCCCUUCGGUUCGGAACAACUCAGGGAAACUUGAGCUAAUACCGGAUGCGCCCUAACGGGGAAAGAUUUAUCGCCGAAGGAACGGCCCGCGUCGGAUUAGCUAGUUGGUGAGGUAAUGGCUCACCAAGGCGACGAUCCGUAGCUGGUCUGAGAGGAUGGCAAGCCUCACUGGGACUGAGACACGGCCCAGACUCCUACGGGAGGCAGCAGUGGGGAAUAUUGGACAAUGGGCGCAAGCCUGAUCCAGCCAUGCCGCGUGGAUGAUGAAGGCCUUAGGGUUGUAAAGUCCUUUUAACGGGGAAGAUAAUGACGGUACCCGUAGAAUAAGCCCCGGCUAACUUCGUGCCAGCAGCCGCCGUAA